AAGCCCACCCUAGCCCAACUAUACCUACAACUGAGUACCAAAUAACUAACUCCACCACUAAACCAAAGCAUUUUACCAACUUAGUAUAGGCGAUAGAAAAGACUAUUUGGCGCGAUAGAGAUUUUGUACCGUAAGGGAAAGAUGAAAUAACAAUGAAAAACCAAGCAAUAAAUAGCAAAGAUAAACCCUUGUACCUCUUGCAUCAUGAUUUAGCGAGAACAACCAAGCAAAGUGUACUUAAGCUUGCCCCCCCGAAACCCGAGCGAGCUACUUACAAGCAGCUAUACGUUGAGCGAACCCAUCUCUGUUGCAAAAGAGUGGGAUGACUUGUUAGUAGAGGUGAAAAGCCUACCGAGCCGGGUGAUAGCUGGUUGCCUGUGAAACGAAUCUAAGUUCCCUCUUGAUCUCCCUCUAAGGACCACCUCACCAACCCCACUGUAGUAGAUCAAGGGUAAUUUAAAGGAGGUACAGCUCCUUUAAAAGAGAAUACAAUCUCAUCUAGAGGAUAACUCAAAUCAACCUAACUAACUGUAGGCCUUCGAGCAGCCAUCAAUAAAGAGUGCGUCAAAGCUCCUUAUUAAUAAAAAUUCAAAAACGCUAUGACUCCCUUCCUAUUAACAGGCCAACCUAUCACAAUAGGUGAAUAAAUGCUAAAAUGAGUAACUAGGGGCUUA
rnacentral:rRNA from 1 species